rnacentral:rRNA from 1 species
AGUUCGAUCAUGGCUCAGGAUGAACGCUGGCGGCGUGCUUAACACAUGCAAGUCGAACGGGAUCCAUCAGGCUUUGCUUGGUGGUGAGAGUGGCGAACGGGUGAGUAAUGCGUGACCGACCUGCCCCAUACACCGGAAUAGCUCCUGGAAACGGGUGGUAAUGCCGGAUGCUCCGACUCCUCGCAUGGGGUGUCGGGAAAGAUUAUAUCGGUAUGGGAUGGGGUCGCGUCCUAUCAGGUAGUCGGCGGGGUAACGGCCCACCGAGCCUACGACGGGUAGCCGGCCUGAGAGGGCGACCGGCCACAUUGGGACUGAGAUACGGCCCAGACUCCUACGGGAGGCAGCAGUGGGGAAUAUUGCACAAUGGGCGCAAGCCUGAUGCAGCGACGCCGCGUGCGGGAUGACGGCCUUCGGGUUGUAAACCGCUUUUGAUCGGGAGCAAGCCUUCGGGUGAGUGUACCUUUCGAAUAAGCACCGGCUAACUACGUGCCAGCAGCCGCGGUAAUACGCAGGGUGCAAGCGUUAUCCGGAAUUAUUGGGCGUAAAGGGCUCGUAGGCGGUUCGUCGCGUCCGGUGUGAAAGUCCAUCGCUUAACGGUGGAUCUGCGCCGGGUACGGGCGGGCUGGAGUGCGGUAGGGGAGACUGGAAUUCCCGGUGUAACGGUGGAAUGUGUAGAUAUCGGGAAGAACACCAAUGGCGAAGGCAGGUCUCUGGGCCGUUACUGACGCUGAGGAGCGAAAGCGUGGGGAGCGAACAGGAUUAGAUACCCUGGUAGUCCACGCCGUAAACGGUGGAUGCUGGAUGUGGGGCCCGUUCCACGGGUUCCGUGUCGGAGCUAACGCGUUAAGCAUCCCGCCUGGGGAGUACGGCCGCAAGGCUAAAACUCAAAGAAAUUGACGGGGGCCCGCACAAGCGGCGGAGCAUGCGGAUUAAUUCGAUGCAACGCGAAGAACCUUACCUGGGCUUGACAUGUUCCCGACAGCCGUAGAGAUAUGGCCUCCCUUCGGGGCGGGUUCACAGGUGGUGCAUGGUCGUCGUCAGCUCGUGUCGUGAGAUGUUGGGUUAAGUCCCGCAACGAGCGCAACCCUCGCCCUGUGUUGCCAGCACGUCAUGGUGGGAACUCACGGGGGACCGCCGGGGUCAACUCGGAGGAAGGUGGGGAUGACGUCAGAUCAUCAUGCCCCUUACGUCCAGGGCUUCACGCAUGCUACAAUGGCCGGUACAACGGGAUGCGACACGGCGACGUGGAGCGGAUCCCUGAAAACCGGUCUCAGUUCGGAUUGGAGUCUGCAACCCGACUCCAUGAAGGCGGAGUCGCUAGUAAUCGCGGAUCAGCAACGCCGCGGUGAAUGCGUUCCCGGGCCUUGUACACACCGCCCGUCAAGUCAUGAAAGUGGGUAGCACCCGAAGCCGGUGGCCUAACCCUUUGUGGAUGGAGCCGUCUAAGGUGAGACUCGUGAUUGGGACUAAGUCGUAAAAAGGUACCC